rnacentral:rRNA from 1 species
UACGGAGGGGGCUAGCGUUGUUCGGAAUUACUGGGCGUAAAGCGCACGUAGGCGGCUUUGUAAGUCAGAGGUGAAAGCCUGGAGCUCAACUCCAGAACUGCCUUUGAGACUGCAUCGCUUGAGUCCAGGAGAGGUCAGUGGAAUUCCGAGUGUAGAGGUGAAAUUCGUAGAUAUUCGGAAGAACACCAGUGGCGAAGGCGGCUGACUGGACUGGUAUUGACGCUGAGGUGCGAAAGCGUGGGGAGCAAACAGG